rnacentral:rRNA from 1 species
UACAGAGGCCCCAAGCGUUACUGAGAAUCACUGGGCUUAAAGGGUGCGUAGGUGGUCCGUUAAGUUCGUUGUGAAAUCCCUGGGCUCAACCCAGGAAAUGCUUCGAAUACUGGCGGACUUGAGGCUAGUAGAGGUCACUGGAACUGACGGUGGAGCGGUGAAAUGCGUAGAUAUCGUCAGGAACGCCGGUGGUGAAGACGGGUGACUGGGCUAGUUCUGACACUGAGGCACGAAAGCGUGGGGAGCAAACAGG